GCCAUUACAGGGCACAAUCCUUCACGUAAAACCAGAAAACCCACAUUAAGGGAGACCUUAAGGCUUAGAACCCACCACGAAGACGAAGAACAAGGUGAAGAGUGGACUCCUUUUGAAUAUUGUAAUCAGCCAAAGUCCUUCCGUCUUCCAGUUGUUUCCCAGCAAAAAUCAACCUUUGCUGAUCUGGUGGAAUUCCUUCUUUGUCCUGAAUCUUCGCUUUCACGUUAUCAAUCGUAUCCGAGCUCUCCACUUCUAAAGUAAUCGUCUUACCGGUCAAAGUCUUGACGAAGAUCUGCAUCCCACCUCGAAGACGCAGGACCAGAUGAAGAGUCGAUUCCUUCUGGAUAUUGUAAUCGGCUAAAGUCCGCCCGUCCUCGAGUUGCUUUCCGGCGAAGAUGAGACGUUGCUGGUCUGGCGGGAUGCCUUCCUUGUCUUGGAUUUUGGCUUUCACGUUGUCGAUCGUGUCAGAGCUCUCGACCUCGAGAGUGAUCGUCUUUCCCGUAAGCGUCUUAACGAAGAUUUGCAUCCCGCCACGCAAACGAAGGACAAGGUGGAGCGUUGACUCCUUCUGGAUGUUGUAGUCGGCCAAGGUACGGCCGUCUUCGAGUUGUUUUCCGGCGAAGAUGAGACGUUGCUGGUCUGGGGGGAUGCCUUCCUUGUCUUGGAUCUUCGCCUUAACGUUGUCGAUCGUGUCGGAGCUCUCGACCUCGAGAGUGAUUGUCUUGCCGGUCAAGGUUUUCACGAAGAUUUGCAUCCCACCGCGCAAACGGAGGACGAG
rnacentral:lncRNA from 1 species